CGGGGUGUAGCUCAGUCUGGCUAGAGCAUUGCUUUCGGGAGGCAAGGGUCGGAGGUUCAAGUCCUCUCACCCCGA
rnacentral:tRNA from 1 species